CUGGUUGAUCCUGCCAGUAGUGAUAUGCUUGUUUCAAAGAUUAAGCCAUGCAUGUCUAAGUAUAAGCGAACUUAUACAGUGAAACUGCGGAUGGCUCAUUAAAACAGUUUGAAUUUAUUUGAUGAAUGUAUGAGAAUACUACUUGGAUAACCGUAGUAAUUCUAGAGCUAAUACAUGCAAUGACGCCCGACCGUUUCACUACGGAAGGGCUGUAUUUAUUGGAUACCAAAACCAUCCUUCCCUCGGGAAGUUUUGUUUGAUGAUUCACAAUAACUGAUCGGAUCGCCACUGUGGUGGUGACAGGUCAUUCAACAUUCUGCCCUAUCAGCUUUCGAUGGUUGUGUAGUGGACAACCAUGGCCAUAACGGGUAACGGAGAAUCAGGGUUCGAUUCCGGAGAAGGAGCUUGAGAAUUGGCUACUACAUCUAAGGAAGGCAGCAGGCGCGCAAAUUACCCAAUCCCGAUUCGGGGAGGUAGUGACAAAAAAUAACAAUACCGGGCCUUUUUGGGCUUGGUAAUUGGAAUGAGGGAGAGUUAAACGGACCAUCGAGUAUCCAUUGGAGGGCAAGUCUGGUGCCAGCAGCUGCGGUAAUACCAGCUCCAAUAGCGUAUAUUAAAGUUGUUGCAGUUAAAAAGCUCGUAGUUGGACUUGUGUGCGCUGUCCGCGGGUGGCCUGCGCCCAAAAGGGCGUUUCGGUUCGGCCCCGGUGGCGCCUUGAAAUCUGCAGCUGGGGGGACGUUGGCCUUAACUGGUCGGCGACCGCACGCCGGCUGCUCGGUUACUGUGAGAAAAUUAGAGUGUUCAAGGCAGGCAUUGGGUGCAAUUGAAUACACUAGCAUGGAAUAAUAAAAUAUGGCUCCUGCCGUAUUUUGUUGGUUUUGACUGGUGGGAGUAAUGAUUGAUAGGGACGGUUGGGGGUGCUAGUAUUGAGCGGCCAGAGGUGAAAUUCAUGGAUUCGCUCAAGACUAACUUAUGCGAAAGCAUUCACCAAGGACGUCCUCUUUAAUCAAGAACGAAAGUUGGGGGAUCGAAGACGAUCAGAUACCGUCGUAGUCUCAACCAUAAACUAUGUCGACUUGGGAUCGGCGGUAGUUUUUUCAUUAAGACACUGUCGGGACCACGGGAGAAAUCAAAGUGUCUGGACUCUGGGGGAAGUAUGGUCGCAAGGCUGAAACUUGAAGGAAUUGACGGAAGGGCACCACCAGGAGUGGAGCCUGCGGC
rnacentral:rRNA from 1 species